rnacentral:rRNA from 1 species
UACGUAGGGGGCAAGCGUUGUCCGGAUUCAUUGGGCGUAAAGAGCGUGUAGGCGGCCAGGUAGGUCGGUUGUGAAAACUGGAGGCUCAACCUUCAGACGUCGACCGAAGCCAUCUGGCUAGAGUCCGGGAGAGGAGAGUGGAAUUCCUGGUGUAGCGGUGAAAUGCGCAGAUAUCAGGAAGAACACCCGUGGCGAAAGCGGCUCUCUGGAACGGUACUGACGCUGAGACGCGAAAGCGUGGGGAGCGAACAGG